rnacentral:piRNA from 1 species
UGAUACAACAUGUGAUGGCACUGCUGAC